CCCUUAGAUGUUCUGGGCUGCACGCGCGCUACACUGAUGCACUCAACGAGUUUACGACCUUGUCCGAGAGGAUUGGGUAAUCUUUUUAAAAUGCAUCGUGAUGGGGAUAGAUUAUUGCAAUUAUUAAUCUUCAACGAGGAAUUCCUAGUAAGCGCGAGUCAUCAGCUCGUGCUGAUUACGUCCCUGCCCUUUGUACACACCGCCCGUCGCUCCUACCGAUUGAAUGUUUCGGUGAAGAUUCCGGAUAGGACUUUUUUGAUUUAUUUCAAUUUUGUCUUAAAAGCUAUCUAAACCUCAACAUUUAGAGGAAGGUGAAGUCGUAACA
rnacentral:rRNA from 1 species